rnacentral:rRNA from 1 species
AACGAACGUUGGCGGCGUGGAUUAGGCAUGCAAGUCGAGCGGGAUUAACUCGUUUCAAUCUUUCGGGAGAGAAACUUGUUAUGAGAGCGGCGAACGGGUGAGUAAUACUUGGGUAAUUUGCCUCUUUGUUCGGGAUAGCCAUCGGAAACGAUGAUUAAUACCGAAUGUGUUCGGGUGCUUCAUGGCACCCUUUAUAAAGGCGGGGAUUCUUCGGAACCUGUCGCAAGGAGAUAAGCCCAAGUCCUAUCAGCUAGUUGGUGAGGUAACGGCUCACCAAGGCUUACGGGUAGCGGGUCUGAGAGGAUGAUCCGCCACACUGGGACUGAGACACUGCCCAG